GAGUUUGAUCUGGCUCAGAUUGAACGCUAGCGGGAUGCUUUACACAUGCAAGUCGAACGGCAGCACGAGAGAGCUUGCUCUCUUGGUGGCGAGUGGCGGACGGGUGAGUAAUAUAUCGGAACGUGCCCAGUAGCGGGGGAUAACUACUCGAAAGAGUGGCUAAUACCGCAUACGCCCUACGGGGGAAAGGGGGGGAUUCUUCGGAACCCCUCACUAUUGGAGCGGCCGAUAUCGGAUUAGCUAGUUGGUGGGGUAAAGGCUCACCAAGGCAACGAUCCGUAGCUGGUUUGAGAGGACGACCAGCCACACUGGGACUGAGACACGGCCCAGACUCCUACGGGAGGCAGCAGUGGGGAAUUUUGGACAAUGGGGGAAACCCUGAUCCAGCCAUCCCGCGUGUAUGAUGAAGGCCUUCGGGUUGUAAAGUACUUUUGGCAGAGAAGAAAAGGUAUCUCCUAAUACGAGAUACUGCUGACGGUAUCUGCAGAAUAAGCACCGGCUAACUACGUGCCAGCAGCCGCGGUAAUACGUAGGGUGCAAGCGUUAAUCGGAAUUACUGGGCGUAAAGCGUGUGUAGGCGGUUCGGAAAGAAAGAUGUGAAAUCCCAGGGCUCAACCUUGGAACUGCAUUUUUAACUGCCGAGCUAGAGUAUGUCAGAGGGGGGUAGAAUUCCACGUGUAGCAGUGAAAUGCGUAGAUAUGUGGAGGAAUACCGAUGGCGAAGGCAGCCCCCUGGGAUAAUACUGACGCUCAGACACGAAAGCGUGGGGGAGCAAACAGGAUUAGAUACCCUGGUAGUCCCACGCCCUAAACGAUGUCAACUAGCUGUUGGGGGCCCGUUAGGCCCUUAGUAGCGCAGCUAACGCGUGAAAGUUUGACCCGCCUGGGGAGUACGGGUCGCAGAUUUAAAAACUCAAAGAAUUGACGGGGACCCGCACAAGCGGUGGAUGAUGUGGAUUAAUUUCGAUGCAACGGCGAAGAACCCUUACCAA
rnacentral:rRNA from 1 species